rnacentral:rRNA from 1 species
UACGUAGGGGGCAAGCGUUGUCCGGAAUCAUUGGGCGUAAAGCGCUCGCAGGUGGUCCGCUGCGUCGUGCGUGAAAGACCCCGGCUCAACUGGGGGAUGUCGUGCGAUACGGGCGGACUGGAGGCCAGUAGGGGGAUGCGGAAUUCCGGGUGUAGUGGUGGAAUGCGUAGAGAUCCGGAGGAACACCAGCGGCGAAGGCGGCAUCCUGGACUGGUCCUGACACUCAGGAGCGAAAGCGUGGGGAGCGAUCCGG